rnacentral:rRNA from 1 species
CCCUUAGAUGUUCUGGGCUGCACACGUGCUACACUGGCAGGUUCAGCGAGCUUCAUGCCCUGAUCUGAAAGGAAUGGGAAAUCUUUUCAAAACCUGCCGUGCUUGGGAUAGAUGUUUGCAAUUAUUCAUCUUCAACGAGGAUUGCCUUGUAAGCGCACGUCAUCAGCGUGCAUUGAAUACGACCCUGUAUUCUGUACACACCGCCCGUCGCUCCUACCGAUUGAAGUUUUCGGUGAGUUGACAGGAGGAUUUUUUUGAAACUGGUUCGCCAGUGGAUUUUAGAUCCAAAUGCCAACGAAUCGAUGGCUUGAGAGGAAGGAGAAGUCGGAACA